rnacentral:rRNA from 1 species
CAAGUCGAACGAAUGCUACUUGUGUAGCAAUACAUGGGUAGAGGAAGUGGCGAAAGGGGCAGUAAUGCAUGGAUAACCUACCUUGGGGUUGGGCAUAGCCGUUCUAACGGACGGGUAAUUCCCAGAGAUUCAGCGGGGCGGCAUCGUUCUGCUGGGAAAGAAUUUCGCCUCGAGAGGGGUCCAUGUGCUAUUAGCUAGUUGGUGAGGUAACGGCUCACCAAGGCUAAGAUGGCUAGCGGGUGUGAGAGCACGACCCGCGCCACUGGCACUGAGACACUGGCCAGACACCUACGGGUGGCUGCAGUCGAGGAUCUUCGUCAAUGGGCGCAAGCCUGAACGAGCGACACCGCGUGCGCGAUGAAGGCCUUCGGGUUGUAAAGCGCGAAAGUGGAGAGAAAGGGCAACUUGAUCAAUCCACAGUAAGGACGGGCUAAGUUCGUGCCAGCAGCCGCGGUAAGACGAACUGUCCUAACGUUGUUCGGAAUCACUGGGCUUAAAGGGCGCGUAGGCGGUCCGACAAGUCGGGGGUGAAAUCCUGCAGCUUAACUGCAGAAGUGCCUUCGAUACUGUCGGUCUUGAGGGAGAUAGGGGUGUGCGGAACUUCCAGUGGAGCGGUGAAAUGCGUUGAUAUUGGAAGGAACGCCGGAGGCGAAAGCGGCGCACUGGAUCUCUACUGACGCUGAGGCGCGAAAGCCAGGGGAGCAAACGGGAUUAGAUACCCCGGUAGUCCUGGCCCUAAACGAUGAGUACUAGAUUGUAGACUUAUCAUGGGUUUACAGUCGAAGCAAAAGUGUUAAGUACUCCGCCUGGGGAGUAUGGUCGCAAGGCUGAAACUCAAAGGAAUUGACGGGGGCUCACACAAGCGGUGGAGCAUGUGGCUUAAUUCGAGGCUACGCGAAGAACCUUAUCCUAGGCUUGACAUGUGC